AAUCAUUUGUUCUUUAAAUAAGGACCUGUAUGAACGGCUACAUGAGGAUUAACUUGUCUCUUACACCGAAUCGAUGAAACUGAUCCCCCAGUCCAAAAGCUGGGAUAUUAACAUAAGACGAGAAGACCCUGUGGAGCUUUAAACUGCCUACCACACAGUUUGACCUGGCAUGUUUUUAGUUGGGGCGACUUUGGAGACAAACAAAACAUCCAAACACAUUAACCCGAGGCUUACACGCCACCGCACCCCCUACCAGACCCAAUAAAAUUGAACAAUGGACCAAG
rnacentral:rRNA from 1 species